rnacentral:misc_RNA from 1 species
UGGCUCUCGCAUCGAUGAAGAACGCAGCGAAAUGCGAUAAGUAAUGUGAAUUGCAGAAUUCAGUGAAUCAUCGAAUCUUUGAACGCACCCUGCGCCCUUUGGUAAUCCAAGGGGCAUGCCUGUUUGAGUGUCUUGAAGCUCUCAAACGUACUCCUUUCUUUGCGGAGGAGACGUUUGGAUGUGGGCGCGUCUGCCGGUUGGAAACGAUCGGCUCGCCCUAAAUGCAUUAGCUGGCUUUUGGUCCGCUGUUCCCGGUGUGAUAAUGGUCACUCGCCGGGGCGUGGCGGAACGCGAGAGAGCCGCUUCGAAAAAAAGACGGGAGGGAGAGUGAUCUCCCCCCCUCGAUAUAUUCAAGUGUUUGACCUCAAAUCAGGUAGGACUACCCGCUGA